rnacentral:lncRNA from 1 species
AUGGUUGCAGAAAAAACAGAAUUUGAGGAUGUUGUCGCAGGUGAAAGUGGAGUGUCACAGGAUCAGGAGGAAGAGGAGAAAGAUGAGAUUUUGCAGGAUGCUCAAGAGAACAAUGAGAGUAUCAAAGACGAGGCAACAAAGAUGGAUGAAAAGACAACAGAGGAAGAAGCUACAGCUGAGAGGUGUGAAGAUAUGGAGAGUACUGGUGAAGCUCAGCAUCCUGUCGAUGAAGAAGCACAACUACAGGAGGACGUAACGAUGGAUCUUUUAGAGGAAGCUCCGGCUGCAUCAUCUAAUGAUGAAACUUUACAGAAUAAGGUGGUAAAUGAUGGGGAAGCUUUGGAGGAGGCUACGACUCGUCACCAAGGGAAAGGGCAUGGGGCAGAAAGCAAGGAGGGUGAUGAGUCACUGGUAUUGGAAGCUAAUAAGGAGAUGGAUGAGACAGCGGUGACAGAUAAUGCAGCAGAGGAGGCGGCGACAAGCGAGACAAUGCAUGUAGACGUGAAUCCCAUUAAGGAGCAAGAAGACCUCCUCCAUGAGGAGUCAGCUGAAACCAUUACAGAGAAUAGACAACAGGAGAUUGAGGACGGUGCCUCAGAAGCCAAUGCAGGGAGUUCAAACAGCACAGCAGAGGAGAGUGAAGACAGUCCAACAACAGUUGAAAAAACAAUUGCUACUAAAGAGGAAAACAUAAUACUUGAAAGCACUCAAAAUGGCAAUAACAAAGAAACAGAAGAAUUUAAAGUAGAAGGUAGGAGGGAUGGCAGUGAAUCAGAAGUGUGUGAAACUGGUGAGGAGCACAAAUCAGUGCGAUCGGAGGAAAAAGAAAAGAAGAUCUUUGAGGAGGAGGAUGUUGAAGAUAAAGAAGAACAAAGUCAUGUAAAUACAGACCAAAGUGAAAGAGAUGAAACAGAAAAUUUAGAUAAGCCAUUGAAAGAAAGUAUGGAAGGAAUAAAGAGUGGUAAGAAAAGCAUUGAAAAUAAAACAGUGGAAGACCAACAUGCAGAAAAUACCCUUGAUAAAGAGGAGGGAGUGACAGAUGGGAAUGUUAUAGAACCAGAAAAGACAGAGGAAGCAAACACAUCUGUUCAAAAAGAGGAUAUGAAUUCUGAAAACAAUGAGGAUGAAAGCCAAAGUGAAAUCAUGAUUAAAAAAACUGAUGAACACAAUGAAGGAACAUCAAGUAAAGAUGAAGUGAAUGGACAAAAGGAAAAACUCCUGGAUGAACACGCAAAAGAUGUUGAUAAAAUCAUCGAUGACUGUGAAAUUGAAGCCGAAAACACAAUAGAAGAAAUACUUGAAAACAUAUCAGGAGCUGGAAAUAUUCCCCCGAGGAGUGAAAGAACAAAUGACAAUUGGGAAAAGGGUUUGAUUGAUGGUGAAAAUGGGGAGAUUUCUGCUGAGAGUAAAACAUGUGAAAACAAGGAGUUUCCCUUAGGGGACAAACAGGAUGUAAGUGAUUUAACCAAGUGUGAAGAAGGGAAAACCAAGGAUCCUGAUGGUCACGAGAGCACAGAGGAAGGAGGUGAUGUUAGUCAAGAUAGAGAAGCAGGUGGGAUCGAAAGUAGUGUUGGGGAAGAAGAAAGCAAAGCUGAAGAAUGCCAUGAACAGAGCAAAAACAUCUCAGACCCUGAGUCAAGGGCUUUGGAUCUUAGAUCUGAAGACAGAAAAGACAGCAGAGAAACAGAGGACAGUGAAAAUGGCAUGAAAUUUAGUCUUGAUAAUGAAAAUCAAGAGUCCAGUUUGACUGAAAAGAACAAUAACACAAAGAGCUCCUCCAGUGCCGUGACAGAAUCCUCAGGGCAUCAGGAACAAUUUCCACCAGUUUCUGUCAAUUCGGGAGAGUUACUUCAACACUUAGAAGACAAGAACAUGAAGCCUGUAGAAAGAAGUGAAGGCCCUGAAGAAAACGUGGUUAGUGUUGAUUUCUCAGCUGCCGAUGGAGGAAAUGAGGACACAGAAGAUGCCAGCAAAGCUUCGGAGGAAGGCGCAAGUGUGCUUCUCAAACCCCAAAACGAAGAGGCUGAUGGUGCUCGACAGGAAGAAACUGUGGGAAAAGGACCUCCAGAGGCAGCUGCAGACAGCAGCGACCUGGUGACAAACUGGGUGAACAUGCACCAGUCCUCAAAGUUUUUUGAGACAUUUGUCGAACCCCUGGAAGAUCUCAGUGAAAUUGCAGAGACACCUAGUUCAGAAAUGCUAAUGGUAGAGCUCACUGAGGUAGGAAGGAUAUCUGACAGUGAAGAUAAGAUGCACAUGCUGAAAGACCAAAGUGAGUCAAGCCUCAAAACCACAAUGGAGGCUGUAGAGACAGAUCUGAACAACACUGAGCCUAAAAAGGAACCUUCUCAGAAUGACUGUGCCAAAGACACGCAGCAACAAGAUACUCAAAACACUGAAGUUCAAAAACCUGGAUCAAAAGCAGGAAGUGAGCAAAGCAAGAGAGAGUCUCCAAAAGAGCUUGAUAUGAAGCCUUCAGAGGUUCACAGAUCCAUGCAAGCAAUCAAUGAUGAUGUUCAAGACAGCACUGAAGUGGAAAAUAUCUCAAGCACUCAUAACUCUGAGGUAAGUGGCAAAGCAGAGAGUGUUUCUGAGACCGAACCUGUGGAGAGAACUGCAGGUAACCCCACUGACAUGACUGAUGAACAAACAGUGGUCAAAGAAAGGAAAGAUCUUCUGCUUGCUACUAAAAUAGAAGAGUUCAACAACUUAAACCAUCCAGAUGAACUGAAAGAUGACACAACACAGGAAAUGAUAAAGGAUCAAAGCGAGAAAGUUUCACAGAUGACACAUUUUACAACCAAAUCUGACGUUGGAAGUCUGCAGGAGUCCCUUGGUGAAGAGAUCCCACCGGAAGUAUCGGAGGAGGGCAGAAAAGAGAUGAUCCAAGACCUCAAACACGCUCUGAGCAGAGAGCAUCUCAGCACUUUCUCAGUGGACAAAAGCUUGUUCGGUCAUAACUCAUAUUCUCUACUGCCAUCGAUGAGGACUGAGAGUGAGUUAACACUGCCCAACAACUAG